UGUGCACUGGUGGGGUCCCUCAGCCUGGCCUGUGCCCUCUCACAAUCCGGGACCCCUUGGGGGAUGUUGAAGAGCCAGUUAAGCCCGAUUCCACAGGCCAGGCUGAGGGACCCCACCAGUGCACA
rnacentral:pre_miRNA from 1 species